CCUACGGGAGGCAGCAGUGAGGAAUAUUGGUCAAUGGACGAGAGUCUGAACCAGCCAAGUAGCGUGAAGGAUGACUGCCCUAUGGGUUGUAAACUUCUUUUAUAUGGGAAUAAAACGUUCCACGUGUGGGAUUUUGUAUGUACCAUAUGAAUAAGGAUCGGCUAACUCCGUGCCAGCAGCCGCGGUAAUACGGAGGAUCCGAGCGUUAUCCGGAUUUAUUGGGUUUAAAGGGGGCGUAGGUGGAUUGUUAAGUUAGUUGUGAAAGUUUGCGGCUCAACCGUAAAAUUGCAGUUGAAACUGGCAGUCUUGAGUACAGUAGAGGUGGGCGGAAUUCGUGGUGUAGCGGUGAAAGGCUUAGAUAUCACGAAGAACUCCGAUUGCGAAGGCAGCUCACUGGACUGCAACUGACACUGAGGCUCGAAAGUGUGGGUAUCAAACAGGAUUAGAUACCCCGGUAGUC
rnacentral:rRNA from 1 species